GUGCUUGCUUUGGCAGCACAUAUACUAAAAUUGGAACAAUAUAGAGAAGAUUAGCAUGGUCACUGCACAAGGAUGGCAUGCAAAUUCAUGAAGCAUUCCAUAUUUUU